CCCCGGUUAGUUUAGUUGGUAGAGCGCUCCAGAUGUAAUGGAGAGGUCCCGUCUUCGAUACCCGGACCAGGCG
rnacentral:tRNA from 1 species